rnacentral:lncRNA from 1 species
UUGGAUGUUCUACUUCUUCCUUAACAUCUGAUUCCAGGGAUCCAAAACGUACAUGUGAUUUAUCUUCUGGCAACUUCUUUUCAUCAAGACCGAUCAAGACUGGAGUUUCCAGACUAAUUUUCGCGAGAUGGUUUACUUUUUCAUUUAAGGUAGCGGACAACAGUAAAUUCUGCCUCUUAACAUUAGAAACUUCAUUUCCCUCACCAAUAGACCCAAUGUUCCUUGAACCCAAAAUAUCUAGUAUCUCCUCUAUUUCUUUUCCAAAUCCUAAUUCCAGAAUUCUGACAAGAAGCAUAAGAAAAAUUAGGGGAGGCACAAAAGACAUGAAACAGUAACGAAAUUAACAAUCCGUUAAAAUACUGCAACUGAACUCCAAUGAUAAAUACCUAUCUGCUUCAUCAAAUAUUAUCCAACACAAAUUUGUAUGCAAGAAUGAUGAUGUAUGCUUUAAGUGGUCCAAAAGACGUCCAGGUGUUGCAACAAGAAUAGAUAUGCCUGAAAAGAGUCAUAUGAAAUAUUAAUGUGUCUCUACAAAUCCAUCAACAACAGAUGAAGGAUAUUUCCACCAAACAUUCAUCCGACUUAAACCUGAAGACAUACAUACAUUGCCAUAAAUACCAGACCCAUCAAACCAGGCCAACGAAAAAAGAAAGAGAUGUAGAAAAUCUUCACCUUUACGCAACCUGGCUUUCUCUUUUGACCGGUUCUCCCCACCCAUUACAUAACCAGGCACAAUCCAAUGAAAACGAUGCAAUAACUUAUGUAAAAUCUCAUAAACCUGCAAGCAUAACUCACGGGUUGGCACAAGAACCAAUGCUGCCAGCAAGAACACAUCAAUUCAUCACACUACAUUAGAAAUAACAAUAACAAUAACAAUAAUAAAAGUAGUAACAAAAUACAAGUAAUCAAAGCUCAUCCUUACCAAAAGUUCCACUCGAGCGAUCAAUUCGAGGACUGUAACUCUGCAAGUGAUUAAUAAUGGGUGCUAAAUAAGCCACCGUCUUGCCCGUCCCAGUAGCCGCAUUAACAAGUCUAGAUAAUUUUUUUUUUCCACAUCAAACAAAGCUCAUUAUAAUCAAACAAAAACAUUAAAACUGGAACUAUUAAAAAGCAAAGAAAGGAUGAUUACACGUGUCGGCCAGAGAGAAUAACAGGGAUUGCUUGAGCCUGAACUUUUGUCGGAGCUUCAAAUCCAAGUCUUUCUGUCACCAAAUUACGAAUUUUUAUCAUCAUAAUUAACUUUAAAUUAAUGUUAAAAAAAACAAAAACAAAAGCAAACCUCGUAGCUGGUCGCAUAGAGUAGAGUGGAGGCCGAGACUGGAGAAGGAGCACGACGCGAAUAUUUCUUUUACUGUUUCUUUCUUCUUACUCAUUUUUAUCAUUCUUCUCCUUCUGCGAGAUUGUCUGGGAAUUUAGGGUUUUGGGAAAGAGCUGAAUUUUUUCAUCAGGGUUUAUCUAAACUACUAAAAACCAGAGAAACGACGCCGCAUCUAUUAAAAACGGCACGUCAUUUAUAGUGAGAAUAAGUAAAUUUCUUUUUCACCAGAACGACAUGUCAUAUAGAAUACUAACUAAUUGCACGAUGUAUCGUAACACCUCUAAUUUUUUUUUUAUUUGAAUUAGUAACGCCUCUAAUUUAGUUUAACAAACCUGCUAUACGCACGUAUUUGAUAUUAGUUUUCUUUGGAAGAACUUCCAUUAAAUUAUUGAAACAUUCUUUCCAUUGUUGACUAAAUGAAAGGGUUUAAUUGAAGAAAAUUUCACCCACACUUAAUUAUAUAUUUAUGCAAACAUCAAAUUGAUAUAUAAAAUAGUUAUAAAUCAUUGUAAUCAUCAGGAAACAAGUUAGAAGCAAUCGUUUACCUGUUCGGAGAAGAUAUGAAAGUUUAAUGUCACAUGUUGAUAUAGAGUUUGUAAAAUCACCAAAGGAAGGUUGGUCUAUGUCGGGUACAUUAGGUAAUCAAAAUGGUACGUGGGAUACACCAUAUCGAAGGAAGAAAAGUUAAAGAAAAUGAACAAAAUAUUAGUUACGUGAAAAAAUAUCAUCAUCGCCUAAAAAUUGAUUUUUUAGAAUCAAUCAAGGAAUAUUUUGCUAAAAAAGAGGGGACAAUAGACUGUCACACCAAUAAAAAGCACAAAACAACACAUCAGGACAGUGGUCUUUAAUUAUCACGCCAAAAACUGCCAAAUAAUUUUUUGAGAUAUGUUAGACCACCCAACAAUGUUUGCCAUGUGUAAAAGUGGAGAAACCGUGAUUACAACGCCCUAAUUGCUCUUCAAGAAUGCUACUAAUGGCCCAAAAUGAUGAUAAGAGUAAAAAAAUGAAAAAAUCCUUAUGAGGACAACAAAACCACCAAUAAAGAUGCACCUGGUGGUAAGGCAGCCAGGGAUCCCAGGCUAUUUUAUAUAAAGACACCAAAGCUCGAUCUUUUUCACUAGUAAUAAAACACACACUCUACAAAGGCUAAAAAUUUCUUCAACCUCCAACCAUCGUUACCAAAAGCUUGCAAGCUCAUGAUGCCAAAAUAGUCUUUAAAAAUUGACUUCAGCAUCGUAAUGUGAUUGCCAACCACCGCCGACUCCACCUCUAACCUCAUUUCUCUAUUUUGCAAGAUAAACACAAUCUUCAAGAUUGUGAACCGAACUUGAAGCGAACCAAAACCAAUUGGUUUUGAAAAUUGUAAACCAAACUUGAACCGAAUUUAGGAACCGAACCGAAUCGGUUCAAAUUUUUUAUUUUCUUGAUUUUACAGAUUUACCUUAAUAUUAUCAUAUUUAAUGCUUUCCACUUAAUUUUACUUAAUUUUGCCGUUUACACUCCCAUUAACUACCAAGUACCAAACCACACUCUACACACAUAAUAUUAAUAACAAUAUAUAUGAAUAAACAAGUAUAAAACCGUUAAAUCAAAGCAAAAUAAUAAAAGUCCUAAUACAAAAUAUUCGCAAUUCAUAAACACGCUUAAACUUAAAAGUCUACUACAAAUUGUAAGUCCAUGGCAACAAAAAAAAUAAUAAUAAUAACAAGUCCAUAAUAGUGCAUCAAUAUUCGAUAAAACUCCACCAUAACACAAGCCAUAACUACAUCCACCGCAACAAACAAGCCACAACUAUAUCCACAAUCCACAAUUCCACAUCACCUAAAUCAAAAUUCAAAGUGAGCGAAAGCAAAUAAUUAAACUAACUAAAAUGAAGUGAUAUUUAAUAACAAAUAAAUACAUAUCAAUUUAUUACCUAAAAAUUAUUUAUGUUGAUCUUCCAAGUUAGUUGGCAGUUGUUGACUUACGAAGUUCUACAUUAAAAAAAAUUAACAAAUUAAAUAAGGUUCAUAUUACUUAAAAAAUAAAUUAAAAUUAAACAAAUUGUAUAAGGUCAUAAUUCUUUAAAAGUAAACUUAAAUUAAAAUUAAACAAAAUAUACAUUCCGCAAGUUGAUCCAUAAACUCGUUGUGUUCAACUAACUUAUUUAAGUUCGUUGUUGGAUCCACAAAAAGAGAAGACUGCAACAAAUUCUGUAAUAAUACUAGUGCCUCAACUAUGUCCGGAGUAAAAAAAACUUCUAUAUUGGUUUAGAAUACAACCUCCAGUACUAAAGGCGGAUUCGGAGGCAAUAGUAGACACCGGAAUAGCAAGAACAUCCCUUGCUAUAAGUGACAAAAUUGGAUAAUUGACAUUAUUCACCCUCCACUAUAACAAAAUAUCAAAUUUAAUUCCUAAAUUACCUUUUGCAAUUUUUUCCGUCUUCUCCAUCAAGUAAAGAUCCAACUCAUUUGACAAUUCCGGGCUACUUUCACUAAAUUCGGAGAAAGAGUCCUCAAUCAUAACAUCAUCAUCACCACUCAAAUCCCAAAAAUUCGAACCACUUCCACUUUCAAUAUCUAAAAUUUGGCUUCCACUUGCACUCCCACUACCACCCGAUUUAUAUUGUGCAUUGUAAGACUCAUAAAGCUUAGUCAACAAAUCUUUCACAAUUUCUUUCAUCUAAACACAUUUGGCAUUAUCCUUGCCAUAUAAUUUCUUAAAGCAAUGUGUUGCAAAUUUCAGUUUUCCUCGUGGAUCAAGUACAGAAGCAACAAUCAAUAUUUUAUUUAUCUUGAAACAGCCCUCCCAAUACUUAUCAAAUUUAUCUUUCAUUUUAAUAGUCAUCAAACUCAAAAGGCUAUCAUUACUAGCAGACAACGAUUCCAAAGAUUGUUCAAUUUAAUAUAUCAAAUUGCAACAAGUGUUCGAUGUCACCUAAAAUAAAUUCUAUAUCAUAUAUCAAAAUUCAAAAGCAUAAUAAUGCUAAAAUAAAUUCCAUAUCAUAUAUCAAAAUUCAAAAUCACAAUAAAGCUAAAAUAAAUUCCAUAUUGCAUAUAUCAAAAUUCAAAAGCAUAAUAAAGAUGUGAUAUUACCUUCAAAGAAUAAGAAAAGUACAAAGUUGCAUUAUAAAAAGUCUUCAGAAAUUUAACUAUGCAACGAGCACUCUCUCAAUCACUAUACAGCGGUGGCCCCUCCCUUUUCUUCUUCGCCCCCUCUUUUUCAUUGAAAUAAGCAUCAUAAAGCUUAUCUUCAAGUGUCAUCCGAUUAAAUGCCGGCUUAAAUUUCAAUGCUGUACUCAACAUGGAAUAUGUAGAAUUCCACUGAGUAAGGCAAUCCAAAAUCACACUUACUCGGGAAUUAAUCUUCUUUUGUUGCACGCGAAUUUGAAAUGCUUGCAUCAUGGCGGUGGAAGACCUCACAUUCUUCACAGCAUUCCGAACACCAACUAUACUCGGCUCAAGUUCCUUCAACCCUUCAGUCACAAUCAAAUUCAAUUUGUGUGCACAACAACGAACACACAAAUAAUCCUCAUUUAACACUAAGGCAUCAUCCCUCAAAUUCUUUAGUCGAUCAAUUAAGUGUUAAGAUACAUUGCCCACCAAAUGUGGAAUUCGAACAGUCACAACACAUGAACCACAUGCAGCCACAUGAGUCACGCACCAAUAUGGAAAAAAUCAGCACACCAACUCAAUCCCACAUUAACAAGGCAAGUUGCAAACCGUUGGAAACAAAUAUGGCAAUCUGUAUUGCUCUUGCCAAAGGCUUGCAACAAUCAUCUCACACAAUCCCGUGACAUGCAAACUCACCAAAGAAAGAUGGCCAGUCAUUAUUCAAGUCCAUAUUCUCUUCAUAUCCUGCUGUACGGCCAAGGCGGAUGUACGGUACAGCAGGAAGAAUUUAGUGUCAAGGUUAAACUCCUUCAGCUUUUUUGUGGUCUUUGAUCCCCCCUUUUUUUUAUGUGACAGUCUAGCUGCCAUUGGAAAGCCCUUGACGGAUGAUGACAAAGUCUUUCAAUUGGCACGGGCACUAGGAUCCAAGUAUGCCGACUUCAAAACGGCUAUGCUAACCAAGCCACCUUAUCCAAGUUUGAAACUAUUCCUGUCAGCCUUGCAGAAUCAUGAGCAGACUGUGAUCGCUCAGAAGAAUGAUGGCAAAGAAGCGGAUCCACAGCAAGCCUUCUUUGGGCAACGUGGACGUGGGAAAAGUUUUCAAGGACAAGGACAAGGACAAGGACGCGGCUUCAACAACAAUCUUCCACUUUUCCCAGGACAAUGACGCGGCUUUAACAACAACUUUCAUGAAAGAGGAAAUUAUCCCUCUAACAAUGGGCACAACAAUAUGAAUCAAUCUUUCAAUAUGAAUCAAUCACCCUCUAACAACUCUCUGCCAUAACCAAGGUUCAACAAUAAUGGCCCAAAUCUGCCACUUGCACCAAAACACUACAGUACAGAACAUGUUGAUCAGCGAAAACACAAUUCCAAAUCAGGUAUAAUCUGUCAAAUUUGUGGUAAAACUAACCACAGUGUUGCAGUUUGUAGGCACAGGUAUGACUACUUUACCCCUGAAGAGGAAGCACUGCAAGCCCUCGCGGCCAUGAAUCUGCAAGACGAGAAUGACCCACAACUUUAUGCUGAUUCAGGUGCUACUGCCCACAUGGUAAAUAGCACUGAUAAGUUAAAGAAAUUUAUACCCUAUGGAGGUUCUGAUAAGAUUUUUGUAGGGAAUGGCCAAAGCUUACAUAUUUCUCAUAUCGGUGAUACCAUACAAAAGCUUACAUAUUUCUCAUAUCGGUGAUCCUAUGGAGGUUCUGAUAAGAUUUUUGUAGGGAAUGGCCAAAGCUUACAUAUUUCUCAUAUCGGUGAUACCACACAUGGGAAAUUAAACUUGAAAGAUAUUUUGGUUGUUCCCAAACUUAAAAAGAACCUCCUGUCAGUAAGCAAACUUGUGGAUGAUAUAAAUUGUUCUGUGGAAUUUAACUCUCUUGGUUUUGUUGUAAAGAGCACGUGUAAAUUGGUUGGCUUGAUUUUCUUUCAAACUUGAAAGUAAAUUUGGCUUGUUUUGAGUUACGCUGCUACACAUCUCAAAUUAUCUCGAAUAAUGUGGCAUUCAUCAAUUGGUUAGUGAGAAAUUAACCCACUUAGAUUUUUUAAAGAAUUAUCAACAAAGAAGAAACUCAGAAAACCAAGAGCAAGGAGAAUCAGGUACUGGCUCAGGGAACUAGGCAGGGGGACUUGUACGUGCUCAAUGAAGGAGGAAACUUAGCUUUUCAAACAAUAAGAAGAAACUCAGAAAACCAAGACUUGUGGCAUAAGAGACUUGGCCACCCAAGUCCUAAAAUAUUACAAGUCUUGCGCACUAAUGGGUCUAUCAGUAUAACUGAUUAGACUAAGAACACUAGUAUUUGUGUUUCAUGCCAAUUAGGCAAAAUCUGUAAACUCCCAUUCAGUUUAUCAAAUAAAAUUUUUGAUUUCCCUCUUGAUAAAAUUCACUGUGAUUUAUGGGGUCCUGCUCCAAUUGCUUCUAAUCAAGGUUUUCGUUACUAUGUAUUGUUUGUGGAUGAUUGUACACGUUAUUGUUGGUUAUUUCCCUUAAAAUCAAAAUCUGAUUUUUUUGAGUGUUUUCUUAAAUUCCAAAAACAAGUGGAAAAUCAGAUGGAAUGAAAGAUCAAAAUUUUUCAAAGUGAUGGCGGGGGAGAAUUUAACUCUAUCAUUUUCCAACAACAUCUUCAACAAUCUGGAAUCAUCAAACAAACUUCAUGCCCUUAUACUCCUCAACAAAAUGGAGUUGCCGAAAGGAAACAUAGACAUAUAAUGGAGACUGCCCUUACUAUGUUAUUUGAAUCUUCGUUACCAUUAAAAUAUUGGGUGGAGGCUGUUUUAACAACUGUAUAUCUCAUUAAUAAAUUGCCACAAACAAUUAUUAAGAUGCACACACCUCAUGAGUUACUUUUUAAGGAAACUCCCAGUUACAAUGAAAUUAAAGUUUUUGGUUGCCGUUGUUUUCCCUCUCUGAGGGAUUACAAUAAAACGAAGUUUGACAAAAAAAACUCUCCCUUGUAUUUUUGUUGGUUACAGUCCCACUCACAAGGGAUACUGCUGUCUUUUUCCACAAAAUAAUAGAAUUUAUAUUUCUCGUCAUGUAACAUUUGAUGAAUUAUGUUUUCCUUAUCAAAAUCUAAAAGAUUCUUCUCCUGUACAGGAUGCUUGUAGCAUUCCCACUACUCCAAAUGUGUCACAAUGGCUCCCAACAACUUGGACAGAGUCCUUCAACAACACUUCUCUUGGGCACAUUAAAGUUGCUAAUCCAAACUACACUGCCACAUCUCCAAAUACGAAUGAACCAUUGUCUCUCACUCCAAACAAAGUUGUGAUAAUUGAAGACCUUCAUGAACCACCCACUUAUUUACCCGAAAGUCCCUCUACAAAUUCACCUCAAAAGAGCCCCUCAUCCAAUAACAAGACUGCUGCUUCUGCCGAUAAUACACAUAUCCACACGACCUCCGAACAAACCUUAGAUAGUGACAAUCGUGCUCCAUCUACCUUAAACGAUCUCUCAGGAAAGUUGUUCGUUGAACUAAAUAUCUCUCCUGUCAAAACAACAGAAUCUCUAAAUACACAUCCUAUGCUGACACGCAACAAGCUCAAACAAAAUCCUACCUUAGCUCUUCAAACCGAUCAUGCCACAGUGACCGAACCAAAAACAUUAAAAUCUGCUCUUAAGCAUCCUCUAUGGCUACAAGCAAUGGCCGAAGAACUUGCUGCCCUCCAUCAAAAUAAGACAUGGACCUUAGUUCCUCGACCUUAUGAUGCCAAUGUUAUUGGUUCGAAGUGGGUUUAUAAAACCAAGUAUAGAGAAGAUGGUACAAUAGAUCGGUUAAAAGCCUGUUUAGUUGUGAAGGGGUACACACAAGUUCCUGACAUUGACUUUAACGAGACUUUCAGCCCCGUCAUUAAGCCAUCUACCAUAAGGCUUGUCUUAGCACUUGCAAACUAGUUCUAAAUGGCUUAUCAAACAACUGGAUGUUCGAAAUACCUUCCUUCAUGGUCAACUAAAAGAAAUUGCCUACAUGGAGCAACCACCUGGCUUUACGGAUCAAAAUCUUCUAAUAACACAAGUGCCAUCUACAUGACUCGCAACCCCGUGUUUCAUGCGCGCAGCCGACCAUGUUUACUUACUCCACAAGUCCUUAUAUGGACUCAAACAAGCACCACGUGCCUGGUUUGAAUGUUUAUCAUUAGCACUUCUAGAGCUUGGUUUUACAAGCUGCAAAGCCGAUCCUUCCCUCUUUAUUUUUCAUGCUAACGAUAUUCUUAUUUUGUUGUUGGUGUAUGUAGAUGAUGUAAUUAUUACAGGAAAUAAUCCCGAUAGAAUUCAAUCCAUCAUCAGUCAUCUCAGCACUCGGUUUGCAUUAAAAGACUUAGGCUUAUUGAGCUAUUUUUUAGGGAUCGAGAUUCGGCGCUUUCCAGGAGGCAUUUUUUUGUCACAAGCCAAAUACACUCGUGACUUAUUAACCAAGGCUGCUUUACUAGAUUGCACCUCUAAUCGGACCCCAAUGGCUGUCAAAACCCAACCAUAUGAUGACGAUCAAGAACCCAUACACGCCACUCACUAUCGUUCCCUUGUCGGCAGUCUAUAAUAUCUCACAUUCACCAAACCAUACAUCACUCAUGCUGUCAAUAAAGUUUGUCAACACUUUCAGAGCCCUACUAAACAAGACCUCAAGGCUGUUACAAGAAUUUUGCGUUAUCUUAAAGGCACUCUCGACUUUGGACUUCGAUUGGGCUGGUUGCCUUGAAACAAGACGUAGCACGACUGGCUUUUGUGUUUACCUUGGGGCAAACUUAAUCUCAUGGUGUAGCAAGAAACAAAGCACCGUUGCACGCUCCACUGGGGGGCUGUUAAGAUACAUUGCCCACCAAAUGUGGAAUUCGAACAGUCACAACACAUGAACCACAUGCAGCCACAUGAGUCACGCACCAAUAUGGAAAAAAUCAGCACACCAACUCAAUCCCACAUUAACAAGGCAAGUUGCAAACCGUUGGAAACAAAUAUGGCAAUCUGUAUUGCUAAUGCCAAAGGCUUGCAACAAUCAUCUCACACAAUCCCGUGACAUGCAAACUCACCAAAGAAAGAUAGCCAGCCAUUAUUCAAGUCCAUAUUCUCUUCAUAUCUUAGCCAACGGCUAGUCAACGACUAAGUUUAGAAUUAAUCUCAUAAUUUCUGUAAAAUGUUUCUUCCAUAUAUAGUUCCUCUACUAGUGUAUAAAUACCCGAUCUUGUUCCUUAAGAAGGGAAGUCAAUAAAAACUUUUAAUUCUUUUCAAUACUCUUGAAUUUUAGCAUUAAGUACCUAAGAGCACCCUCAUUUGGACUUGUAUUGUCAAUCGUUACAGCACACACUCGCUCUAUGCCCUAGUCAAUUAAAUAUUUUUCAAUUUGCUUACCAAUUGUCUCCGAUGAAUUAUCAUUAACCGUGUUAAAGCUGGGAAUCUUUCUAUGUAAAUUCCAAUCCUUGUCAAUAAAGUGAGUUGUGAUAACCAUGUAUCUAACUGUCGUAAUAGAAGUCCAAAUAUCAGUGGUCAAAAAUACUCUCUGCUUAUUUCCAACCAAUAAGCUCUUCAACUUUACCUUUUCCUCGACAUACAUAUCAAGAGUAUCCAUAGUAAUGGUUCUUUGUGAUGGAAGAAGAUAUCUAGAAGCUGCCACGCUGCAAAAAUGCUUAAAACCCGGAUUCUCUACAACAGAAAAAGGCAAUUCAUCAAGAACAAUCAUCUUAAUAAUUGCUCGUCUGCAAGCGUCCCAACUAAGACCUCUUACUACAAUUUCAUCACUACCGACAUCUUGAGUUAAAGUCGUUUGGUCUUGCUGAAGGUCUUUGUACUUUUGACACAUUUCUUGGUAAUGAGUCCUCAAAGUGCUAGUUCCGUCCCCUACCGAGCCACAUUCAAAUUCAUUACCGCAGUAGUUGCAUUUGCACUUCUUAUUAUUAUCUGGAAGUCUAGUAAAAUGUUGCCACACUGCUGAUCUUGGAGCCAUUUUUUUCCUUGGUAGUGGCGGUUUGGAUGACGAAGACUUUUUCCUCUUGUUUCUGCUAGUGACAAUUGUUGGCGAAUCAUUUUCACUAUCAUCAACUUCAACUUCACGCUCAAGAUCAUCGGCUACACAAUCGAGGUUGUCUUGAACUCUUGAAUAAUUAGACAUCUUCAAUGAAUAAAAUAAAAAAUAAAUAAGUAAUAUUGUUUUAUUAACAAGGUAUUGAAAUGAAAAAGAUCAAUUACAUUUAAUUUAACUACUAGCCAACAUAUCAUAAUUUAAUUUAAUUUAAUAAGUUAGGCCAACUUAUCAUAAUUUACUUCCAAUAAUUGUUAAUUUAAUUUUAAAUGUUCAUGACAAAAAGAUCAAUUAAAUUAAAUUUAACUAAUAGCCAACAUAUCAUAAUUUAAUUUAAUUUAACAAAUUAAGCCAACAUGACAACAUAUCAUAAUUUACUUCCAGUAAUUGUUGAUUUAAUUCAAAAAAUCCAUGCCAAAAAGAUCAAUUAAAUUUAAAUUAACUACUAGCCAACAAAUCAUAAUUUAAUUUAACAAAUUAAGCCAACAUAUCAUAAUUUACUUCCAAUAAUUGUUGAUUUAAUUUAAAACAUCCAUGCCAAAAAGAUCAAUUAAAGUUAAAUUAACUACUAGCUAAUAAAUCAUAAUUUAAUUUAACAAAUUAAGCCAACAUAUCUUAAUUUACUUCCAAUAAUUAUUAAUUUAAUUUGAAUUGUCCAUGCCAAAUUGCAAUUCACGAAGCUAAUUAAGUCAUUAAUCAUUAUGUCAAAUAAGUUAAAUAACAAAUAUUAUUUCUAAUUUUUCAUUGAUAGAAGCAUUAUACAUUUAUCUAUUUUCAAUUGUUCUAUUCCCAGCCACAAUAUACAAUGCAACAUUACAACCAUUUCAGUUCACUGCCACAACUCAUAAGCCUCCACAACCACUAUAUUUGCCCACCAUUUUUAACUCCACCAACAAGUAUAUUAUAUACCUCAGCAGUCCACAAAAUCAAAUAAUCAAUCCCUAACACAAGUAACACUAGCAUAAACUAAAGACUCUUUACACACUCUGUACGGGCCAUGCCAUAAAUUAAAAAAAAAAAACACCUUUAGGUUGCAGCACCAAAGAGAGGGGUUGUGCUAGGCGUGUGAGGGGCCGUGCUAGGUUGCAACAUCGCGUGUGAGAGGGGUUGAGCUGACGCGAGGGAGAGACGCUCACAAGGAAGAAGCCGAGACAUAGGGGCUGAGCUGAAGUUCUACACCUUGUGGAGAGGGAGAAAUGUGCGACAGAGGGAGGUGUUGGAGAUGAGAGGGAGAUGGUGGGUUGCAAAUUGAAACGCAGGUAGGGAUUUGAGAGAUUUGUUUUUGGUUUAUAUAUUUUCAUUUAUUUUUCAAUUAAAAAAUUUAUUUAUAAUUAAACCAAACCAAAUCGAAUAAAAACCAAUCGGUUCCUUAAUUUCAGUUUGGCUCGACAAAAACCAAAUAGUUUGCUCACCCCUACUUUUUCCGAAGAAAAAUACAGGAUGAUAUCACAUACCCCUUUAAUGAUACCUUAACAUAACAUUAAGGGUCACUAUUGGUCAAGUGACAAGAAUGUUGAUUGACACCAGUAGCUCCUUAAACAUUAUCUUUAAGAGCGCGUUAGAUCAAUUGCUAAUUGAAUCUUAAAAAAUUACUCCAACCAAUAUGCCGCUUAUUGGUUUUACUGAGGAUGUUUUCAUUCCUAAAAGCAUCAUUACAUUGCUCAUUUCUAUUGGCAAAGUACCCAACAAAGUUAUCCAGAUGAUUGACUUCCUCAUUAUGGAUUGCCUAGGUGCUUGUAAUAUCAUUCCGAGCAAACCAUUUUUAACAAAAACUAAAGCGGUGGUAUCUAUGCAUUACCUUAUCAUGAAAAUUCUAACUACCAAAGAUAUUAUCACCAUAAAUAGAGACCAGUAGGCAGCUCAAGGUUGCUAUAUUGUCGCCUCUAAAGAAAGCUAUUAAAUUGCUUCUGAGGCCCAGUUGAAGGUGUACCUCACCGAGAUAGCUUAUCAUCACACAAGGAACUGGUUCGCCUAACCAAGCAAGCAUUUGUCAGAAAAAGGAAAAGUGCCAAUAAAAAAGUUUCACAAGCACGCCAACCGUAAAUUGCAAGGGGAUCCACUUAUAGAAGUAGACUCAAUAAAUAUUAAGACAUCAGAAGUGCUCGAUGAUACACACUCAAAAUUCAUAGGCCUCGUUCGACUGUUAAAACUCAAGUCAUUGUUGAUUUCUUAACUAAAUUCCCUAAUGACUCCAAGGGUGUGGGAAUCUUGGGAUACCCGAACAAGGGAACGCCCACUACAAAAGAAGAACAAAUCUAGAUUGCAUUGAUGGCUCUCCUACACAUGAAAGUGGUGUGGGAGUAACCAUCAUCAACCCUAAUAGAGAGAAGCCAUACUAAUAAUAAAGGGAUAACACUUCACCUCCUUAUAUUUGUUUCGUUUGUUUUCUUUAAUGCUUAUGUAUUUGUAAUAUGUGAUUAGUCAUGAGGGGUACCCAAAGUAACCAAGCUAUUCAAUUGCAUAUUUUUUUUUAAUUUCUUAAGUCUCCAACAACAAGAACAGGUGAUCCCGGGAUUCGUAAUCCACCUUAGAUAACAAAAAUAGUGUCAUAUAAUGAUUCAUACCUCUACUACCUAUAAAUACAUUUCCUUUGCAAAAUAUGAUGAUGUGUGCUCUUUUGUUUGCCUUUUGAUUAUUUAAAAUGGAUGAGUAGUUUCAAAUGUUAUUCAAUAAGAAUAUGUGUGCCAUUAAACUAACUUUAUAUUUAUCAUUAUGUAGCGUUUAUUAUGACGCAACAUAAUAUCAAGAGAUUGCCUUAUUCUAGAGAAAACUAAGGCAUUUGACCUGUCGUGAUCAUAAUAAUCUACUCUAAAAUUAGACUCAUCAGAAAGAAUGUAAAAAGAUCAUUAGUAGCUUUUUAGAGUGAUUAUAUGCCUGCUUGAAUGAAGAGUGUGAGAAUCAAAGAAAACCCAAGGGUGAAGUAUACAGUGAUACCCUAGUGUCAUAAGGAUUCAUUAAGAUAUACAUGUGCCCACACUUCUAUUUUCUUGCUUAAAAGUGAGGGAUAGACAACUUAUGAGUGAAGGACAAUCACAUGAAUUAGAUGUUCGAAGUACUUAUAAAGGCAGACGAGCAGUCGUCUUUGUCAUUAUUCAUCUUACUAAUUUGAUUUUAAGCAAAUGGCAAAUUAUGAGAUUUUUUACUAUUUUAUGAAAAAGGACAACAAAGGACUUUAAGAAAGCUCAAAAAGAGCAAGAAAAAAAUUCUUAUCUUUGUUAUUACGCCAAUUGUGGUUUUGCAUGCUUAAUCAAUUUGUCGUGCCGAUACUUUGAUCAUUGAUUACAUGUUAAGAAUCACCAUGAUCUUCUAAAAACAAACAGCAAAUAUAUCUAGAUAAGUCGUCAUACUGUAAUGAAAUUGAGUUGCUCCACCAUAAAGAAAGAGAUAGCUCAAUGAAUGUUUAAGCUAAGAAGUACAUGAAGUACCACAUAAGUUGAAUCAAGUUUUAGAAUGCAUUAAAGAGACAACAUCCAAAGCUAUGGAAAAUGAAAAUACCAUUAUAGGCAGUCAUAAAAUAAAAGGAAUUUGUGAGUACAACAUUGAAGCAAUUAAAAUACACUAACAAAACAAGGAAUAACAGGUAAUCGAGAAAAUAUUUUCAAGUACAUAACUGGGGAAAAGUGCCAACAUACAAACAAUAAUGCCAAACAAAGUUACAUAGCAAGUAGAUCAUCUUCACCUUUGUCUUUUAUAAUAGGGAGAUCAAUAAAAGCGCUGGAUGUAGCAGAAGCAUGAGCUUCGAAAGUUAAGGUUCUUGAUGGUGACUUUGGCUGAGGUACGCCGGAUAACCUUUGUAGGCUCCCAGAUUGGGGCAAACAGGAUUCCCUUUCGAUCUCGAUCGCAGCCAAGAUAGCCGACUUAUCUACCCACUUCUCCACUCUAGGCACCACAAGCCCCGGAUCAACACUCCACACCUCAGUCAUAAUACGCUCGAAUACACUGUCAAUCAUCUCUUUCUGCUGAGAUACCAAGUCCUCAUGCUUAGCUUGGAGCUCCUCAAGAUCUUUCAUCAUACGAGCCUUCUCCUUGGAAACUUCAUUAAGGCGUCCCUUCAAAGUUUUGUUUUCUCUCGAGAGCUUCUCCUCAUAGGAUCUGCAGCUUUGGAGCUCACUCUUUAGCUUUUCAUUCUCCAACUGAACGUUGGCAAUAGCUGCGAGAUCUUGGAGGCUACGACUCAGGAGGAAAGUCACCCGCAACCAACAAAGGGUACCCUAAAAUUAAGUGAAUCGAGAAACAGAAGGAGAAAACAUAAUGAAAAAGGUACUCACAUCCUGACUAGCCUUUAGCGCUCGGUUAUAACAUUCAUCUAGACCCAACUUGUCCAUCUCCCCAGCCACCUCGGGAGUAAUGUUCUCGCUAGUGUAAUGGACAUAUUCCGCCAAAUGGGAAACCUUUUUGUUUGCCACUGGAUCUAGUUCACCUUCUAUAAAGUCUUCAGGGAGGGAGAAGAGGGAGCCCACUUUUCUUUUCCCAGUACCCAAGGUACCUCUGAAGUCGCUUAGAGAGGAGUCAUGCAAUUUUAUUUUCGUUCCAAGGGCACAUAGAGGAAGGGUACCCUUCAGUGAGGUGGAUCCUGUGGUAACUGAGGAACCACUUCUCAAACGGUUGAAAAAGGCAUCAAAGUCUUCGCUGGAUCGAUCUAUAUCUGCAAAUCGCCAUACAAAACAAGAUGAAAAGGUCAGACAAUCAAAAUAAAGCCUAUGAACAUAAAUAAAAGAGGGGUCAAAAGCAACAAAAAUACAAAACUGAAAAAUAAAAUAUAGGGUGAUAAAAGGGUACCUCUAAAACACGCUAUAGGCAUGUAUCAAUCCUCACCUGGAGUAGACGAGGGAUUUUGGCUAAUCAACCCCAGCCUCUCCCACUUGUCCACACUCAAUAAAUCACUCUCUCUUUGAAGCACUAAAAAUCUCUCCUAAAAAAGAGCCUCCUUCUUACUCAUCUCCUAUACAAGACACUUCCCCUUGAUCCAUAUAAUAUCUACAAGGUCACGAGGAAAAAAAAAAAAAAGAGGAAAAAGGGGAAGGGACACAUACUACCUUCAUCAAACGAGCUUUUCAUUGACAAACGCUCGUUGUCAACCAAAAUAUCAUGCCUUUAAUCCCCAUCCAUCACAAACCAACCAUAUUUAUAACCUUUCUUUAAAGUAAGGUCCACUUAUACUAUGUACCAUGGGUAGGCCAUGUGGAAAAAUAAGCAACAAAUGAGCCUACAGGCUUCUUUAAUUAAUAAAAUCCUUCAACUCUUCAAAGGAGAUAUCCUCCCCGAAUACCUCCAAGCGCAACACUUAGAGGCCUAUAAGCAUUAUUCAUGUUGGUAAGAAAAGCUAUCUAAAGGCAGUCUAGAGAUAACUAAGCAUUCUCUUAAAGAAAGGUUAGACGGGUAGUUAAGGGCGGAAAAAUUCGGGUUUGAAUCGGGUUUGGAUAAACUCGAUUGAAUUUCAAGUCAAUCAGGUUGGAAAAAAUAUAACUUGAAUUUAACUCGAACAUGAGACCCAAUUCGAUCCGAAGGAUUGGAUCGGGUUAAAGGAUUGUACUUGUUUUAGCUUUGAUUUUUUCGGAUUUCGAAUCAACUUGAUUCGAUCAUGAUCCGAUCCGAUUGUGUUGGCCAAAAUCCAACCCAAUCGGGUUAGAGCCUUCAUCCGAAUCCGAUCUAAAUCUGAAUUUUUUUUAUCAGAUCGGUCCGAGUCCGAUCAUUGCCCACCCCUAGGGGUAGCGGAGAUCGCUGUCAAAAAAGUCGAUGUGUAAAGCUAUUCCGACUGUGGCAGGGCAUUUCAAGGUUUUGUUUUUUCAGGGUGCCUAAGUUCAACAUAUAAAAGGAUAUCAUAUUCGACCCAAAUAUGCUCUAGAUCUUUAGAGGUAGCCUUCCCCCACAAAGAAUUAGGUUUAUAAGAUUUAGAGGCAGAAAGAGAAGGUGAUUAUGGGUUGUGAUUUGAGCUUUACCCUUUCCUCUAGACUCAUAAACAAGGAAUUUACUUCCAAAAUUGGGCCCCCGGGUAUGAGGAAUUUCACUAGAAAUCCUAGGGCUUUUACUGCUAAUGUUGACAUUACAGGAAGUCUCAAUACCAUGGCUGCCACCCUCUGAGCCAGGCAGGGAGGGUUUGGCACUCACUAAUUUCCAUGCGGGUAACCAACUAAGGCGAGGAGCCGCCCUCAUUGGAACCUUCUACUAUGCUACACCCCUUAAUCCCGAUCCUCUUUUUACCCAUCUUUCUUAAAAACACAAAAGCAAGACCCCAAAUCAAAACUUACAAACCAAGACCUACAAACCAUACCCCUACUAACUCAUCUAACAACUUUAAAGCUCAUACACCAAAAGUUACAAAUCCAAGCACAAAAAAAAGGCAUAAAUUGGGGAUUUUUGCUUAAAAUCCAAAAUGAAAAGUCCAUAUAGCGAGCUAUAUGGGUAAAAAGAGGAAAAAUGGAGUACUUAGAGAUCACGAAAGGAAAAAUCUAAGUGCCACAAAAUUGGAUCUAAGAGCAAGGAACAACGUAUGCUGCAAAAAAGAGAAAGUGAGGUGAGUCACCUUGCAAAUCCCGAGGGAAAAAAAGAGAAAAAGAAGUGAAAAGGACGAGAGCCACUAUACUUGGUGGACGACGGAGGAGAGAGAGCCAAGGUUACCGCAAAACGAGCACCAAAAUCAUCACUAUAACGCAUAAGAAAGGAACACCUUUUUGUGAAUUUUUUUGACGAUGAGAAACAUAUGAAAGAGAAAGAAAAAGAAAAAACAAGAGAACUUGGGAAAUAGGAGUACCUGGUUAACAUCACCGGAGUAGAACGCGAACCACCGUUGCGGCACUUGAGAGUGGAGAAGAGAAAUUCUAGGUAUUUUCAACAAAGAAGGAAGAGGCACGGAAGGAGGAGAAAAAAAGAAGUAAAACGAUAAAGGGAGAAAUGGUGUGGGAAUGUGAGCAUCUUCACUUAUAUUGAGAGAAGAAGAGCAAGAAUAACAGAAAAUUUUAGGGAUUUCGAAAAGGGAUGGGAAAAAGGAAAGAAGGAAAAAAAGUAGUCAAGGUACUACUUCAUUAAUCAUCCAUCUACGAGGAGUGGCCAAACAUGCGCCAUUCGCAAUUCUUCUAAGAGUUUCUUAUGCCUCAAACAUUAUUAAAAAACUGGAGGAAUAUUGUUUGGGGAAGAAAUGAAAGUUUAAUAACAGAACGCCACGUGUCAAUAUAGAGUUUGCAAAGUCAUCGAAAGGAGGUUUGUCUAUGCUGGGUACACCAGGUAAUCAAAAUGAUACGCGGGAUACACCACAUCAAAGGAAGAAAGGUUAAAGAAAAUAAAUUAAAUAUCAGCCAUGUGAAAUGUCUUCAUCGCCUAAAAAGAACAAUUGAUUUUUUACAAUUAAUUAAGAAAUAUUUUGCUUAAAAUAANNNNNNNNNNNNNNNNNNNNNNNNNNNNNNNNNNNNNNNNNNNNNNNNNNNNNNNNNNNNNNNNNNNNNNNNNNNNNNNNNNNNNNNNNNNNNNNNNNNNNNNNNNNNNNNNNNNNNNNNNNNNNNNNNNNNNNNNNNNNNNNNNNNCGUACAGCAGGGGGGGAGUAGGUUGUCACAUUAGCAAAAAAACACAAAACAGCACAUCAAGACAAUGAUCCUCAACUGCCACGUUAGACACUGCCAAAUCAAUUUUUACAGAGAAAUGUUGGACCACCCAGCAGUGUCGUGUAGAAGUAGACUAACUAUGAUCAUAACGCCCUACUUACUCUCUAAGAAUGCUCCUAACGACCCAAAAUGAUAAUAAGAGUAAAAGGACAAAAAAAUCUUUGUAAGGACAGCAGAAUCGCCAAUAGAAAUGCGCCAGGUAGUAAGGCAGCCAAAGACCCUAGGGUACUUUAUAUAAAGACAUCAAGGUUAUAUUUUUCUCACUAAUAAUAAAACACAUACUCCAAAAGGCUAAGGUAUUCUUCGACCUCCAGCCGUCAUUAUCAAGAGUUUGCAAGUUCUUGACUUCAAAAUAGUCUUAAAAACUAACUUGUGCAUCGGAAUGUAGUCGCCGGCCACUGCCGGCUCCACCUCUAACCUCCUUUCUCUAUUUUGCAGGAUUAACACAACCUUCAAACCAACUCUUUUCAGAUUUAAGCCCUCACAACAUCCUCAUUUUUUCCAUCCUCUCUCAAACUUCACCUAAGGCCAUAACGAGCAGCACACUUCAGCUACACGAGGCACCUCUAUUACCUUAAUACAAGUUUCAUUGUUUUAGCUAGGUUUUUGUUUUUUAUUUUUUCUUUCACCCCAAAACCUAGUUAAAACAAUUGGUGCCAUCUAGGUAGUGGGAGCGCACAAAAAUUCAUUAAUAGUCUUAGAACACUCUACCAAAUGAGACUUCUUUUUCUUUUUCAAUAAUUACCCAGAAAUAUUUAAUUUUUGUUAAGAUAUACCUUUCACAUAUCUUUGAACCAAUUUAGCUGGAAGCAUAAAGUCUUCAGUUGAAGAGCUCAGAGUUGUGUUUGGAUGUUCUACUUCUUCCUUAACAUCUGAUUCCAGAGAUCCAAAAUGUACAUUUGAUUUAUCUUCUGGAAACUUCUUUUCAUCAAGACCGAUCAAGACUGGAGUUUCUAGACUAAUUUUAGUGAGAUGGUUUACUUUUUCAUUUAAGGUAGCAGACAAUAGUAAAUUCUGCCUCUUCACAUUAGAGACUUCAUUUCCCUCACCAAUAGACGCAAUGUUCCUUGAACCCAAAAUAUCUAGUAUCUCCUCUAUUUCUUUUCCAAAUCCUAAUUCCAGAAUUCUGAC